rnacentral:rRNA from 1 species
CGGUUAAAAAGCUCGUAGUUGGAUUUUGGUUAAGAGGGCGCGGUCGGCCGUUUGGUCUGUACUGCGUUGUCUUGACUUCCUGAUGAGGACAUGCUCUUGGUUAACGCUGAGACAUGGAGUCAUCGUGGUUACUUUGAAAAAAUUAGAGUGUUCAAAGCGGGCUUACGCUUGAAUAUAUUAGCAUGGAAUAACACUAUAGGACUCCUGUCCUAUCUCGUUGGUCUCGGGAUGGGAGUAAUGAUUAAGAGGAACAGUUGGGGGCAUUCGUAUUUCAUUGUCAGAGGUGAAAUUCUUGGAUUUAUGAAAGACGAACUUCUGCGAAAGCAUUUGCCAAGGAUGUUUUCAUUAAUCAAGAACGAAAGUUGGGGGCUCGAAGAUGAUUAGACACCAUCCUAGUCUCAACCAUAAACGAUGCCGACUAGGGAUUGGUGGGUGUUAAUUGAUGACUUCACCAGCACCUUAUGAGAAAUCAAAGUUUUUGGGUUCCGGGGGGAGUAUGGUCGCAAGGCUGAAACUUAAAGGAAUUGACGGAAGGGCACCACCAGGAGUGGAGCCUGCGGCUUAAUUUGACUCAACACGGGGAAACUCACCAGGUCCAGACAUAAUAAGGAUUGACAGAUUGAUAGCUCUU